GAACUUCAAUGUGAACAAAGAAGAACCUGGCUCAAGAUCACAAACUGCUUGAACAUUUUCUGUCACAGCACCGUGUAAUUUGUGGCCCUGAAGUGUGUUAUUGUUUAACUCAGACAAAUUGCAGCAGCAAUUAUGACAGUUGAAUUUACCAGCUCUGACCUUGCGAUGAAGUCAGGGUCAUUGAUGAAGCAGCUGAAGAUGGUUGGGACAAGCACACUGCUGUGAAGAACUCAAGCAAAGACGUCCUGGAGUUAAGAUGAUGCAGGACAAGUGCAGGCCUGGCCUACCGAACAUGUACAGCAGUGGCAGCAAAAAUGGCGGUUUCUCCUGGUGAACAGAGGCAGUGGAGGAGCCCAGAUGAUGACCAAUGACCAGUGGCAGCAUGUGAAGGAGUGUCGGAGGGAGAGUAGGUGACAUGAGACCAGGCCCGCAGACCCAGCUCAGACAAAGCAGUUAUGGGAGCAGUGGUGACGGUAGAGACGUACCCGUAACCUAAACCUCCGGAGCCCAUUACUGAGACCCUGGCCAAUAUCAAGCAUCGAAGAACAGAGGAGUGCAGGGUAACAAGAAGAAGAGGAAAAGAUGAAGUCUAUUGCAAUAAAAUAUUGCAUUUUAUUCAGUGUUUCAAGAUGGCGCCGGAGCCUGGCAACACAUUGUAUUCCUCACUCG